rnacentral:hammerhead_ribozyme from 1 species
AUCCAACUGAAGAGUCCAAAGUAGGACAAAAUGCGCAUCCUGGAU